GGAUUAGAUACCCUGGUAGUCCUAGCCGUAAACGAUGGACACUAGUUGCUGGAGGAGUCAAUCCCUUUGGUGACGAAGCUAACGCAUUAAGUGUCCCACCUGGGGAGUACGCUCGCAAGGGUGAAACUCAAAGGAAUUGACGGGGGCCCGCACAAGCGGUGGAGCAUGUGCUUUAAUUCGAUGCAACGCGAAGAACCUUACCUGGGUUUGACAUGGUGGUGAAAGUAACCAGAGAUGGAUACCUUUCCUUCGGGAACACUACACACAGGUGCUGCAUGGUUGUCGUCAGCUCGUGCCG
rnacentral:rRNA from 1 species